AAGUUUGUUGGUAAGGCCUUUUUUUUUUAAUUAGUUGGUUUACGGACAACUAGUGUCAAAGGUUAGGGUCGGAGGAGGUAAAAAAAAUAAAAAUAAAAUAGCAAUCUUAGAUUUUUUUUUUGUUCACAUAUAACUGUUCUGAAAAAUUUGAAUGGAGGAAAAAAAAAAAAAAAAAUGCUGUUCAUUCAUGACAUUACAGGGGUUGAGGAGGAGAAAUAGUUUAGCUCUUAUCUUGAUAUGCUUUGCAUUUGAUGGAUGGAUGGUCAAUUGUUGUUUAAUGUCUAGUGGCUAAUCAGAUGCAUAAUUAGGAUGAGAAUAUGAUAAUGAGAAAUGAAAUGCUAAACUGACACACUGAGCCAGAAUUUAAAUGUGGUAGCUCACAAGGUAACAGUUCCCCCAAAGAUAUGUUACCUUACCCAAACACAUUAUUCUGACUCCUUUAAUAAUUGCAAUUGCAGCGUGCUUGGCGAAGAAGCAGCAGAUACCAAUUUUUAAGUCUUUGAUUUGACCGGGUCAAGGUUCAAACCCAAGAUCUCUCACUCUCCAGGUGAACACAAUACCAUCAC
rnacentral:lncRNA from 1 species